rnacentral:rRNA from 1 species
UGAACGCUAGCGGCACGCUUCAUACAUGCAAGUCGAGGGGCAGCAUAAAGUACUUGUACUUUGAUGGCGACCGGCGAACGGGUGCGUAACGCGUAUGCAACUUACCUUUUACUAGAGAAUAGCCAAGAGAAAUUUUGAUUAAUGCUCUAUACUCUUUUUAACUCACAUGAGUUUUUAAGAAAAGCUCCGGCGGUAAAAGAUGGGCAUGCGUCCUAUUAGCUUGUAGGUGAGGUAACGGCUCACCUAAGCUCCGAUAGGUAGGGGUCCUGAGAGGGAGAUCCCCCACACUGGUACUGAGACACGGACCAGACUUCUACGGAAGGCAGCAGUAAGGAAUAUUGGACAAUGGAGGAAACUCUGAUCCAGCGAUGCCGCGUGAAGGAAGACGGCCCUAUGGGUUGUAAACUUCUUUUAUACAGGAAGAAACCUUUCCACGUGUGGAAAGCUGACGGUACUGUAAGAAUAAGGAUCGG